rnacentral:siRNA from 1 species
ACGCGAAUGGGUACUUGGGCCA